GAGAGUUAAAUAGUACGUGAAAUUGUUGAAAGGGAAACGAUUGAAGUCAGUCAUGCUAGUGAAAAUUCAGUUUGACGGGAUUUUGCUUUGGGUGUUAGGAUAGAUCCUUAUCUUGAAGUCAGUCGUGCCGGCGUUGGAUUCAGCUUGCUUCGCGGAGCAGGCGUAUUUCCGCGCAUGGCAGGUCAGCGUCAGUUUUGCGCGGCGUGAAAAGGCUCGGGUAAGGUAGCUCUCUUCGGGGAGUGUUAUAGACCUGGGCAGAUGCGCUGCGCGGGACUGAGGAUUGCAGCGGACACCUCUUCGGGGGCGCGGCGACCGAACCCUGCUCGGCCACCCUCGUUCGAUAGCGUGCUAGCGGACGCGGGAGCGGCAGUGCACCGGAACAGGCAAGCCAGCGGUUCGCUAAGGAUGCUGACGUAAUGGCUUUAAACGA
rnacentral:rRNA from 1 species